rnacentral:rRNA from 1 species
UACAGAGGUCGCAAGCGUUGUUCGGAUUCAUUGGGCGUAAAGGGUGCGUAGGCGGCGCGCUAAGUCGGGUGUGAAAUUUCGGAGCUUAACUCCGAAACUGCAUUCGAUACUGGCGUGCUUGAGGACUGGAGAGGAGACUGGAAUUCAUGGUGUAGCAGUGAAAUGCGUAGAGAUCAUGAGGAAGACCAGUGGCGAAGGCGGGUCUCUGGACAGUUCCUGACACUGAGACACGAAGGCCAGGGGAGCAAACGGG